rnacentral:tRNA from 1 species
UCCCUGUUGGCUCAGACAGUUAAGAAUCUGCCUGCAAUGCAGGGGACCUGGGUUCAAUUCCUAGGUUGGGAA